rnacentral:lncRNA from 1 species
UGAGACAGGGUCUUGUUGAGUUCCUUUAGGGCCUUGCUAAGUUGCUGAGUCUGGCUUUGAACUUGUGAUUCUCUUGCCUCAGCCUCCCAAGCUGCUGGGAUUAAGUUGUGCACCAGUCUCGCCACAACCUGCUCAGUGAUUGAACAGUCCUCGGAAUGCAGGUGGUGGGCUGUAUUAGGAAACUUAGAUAAGAAAUAAAUACAAAGACUCGAAUCUAGGUGAAAAGCGGCCCAGUGGGCAGAUCAGCCCUGAUGGUGAUCUGAUCGCUGACAAAGAGUGAGACUCCAUGUGCUUCAUUUUAUAGGCAAACACAUCAAAAGGAUUUAUUGUGAGAAAAGCUUCUUCAAGAUAAACAAAAGCAGGGCUGUGGGAAAAUAGCCUAAAUGAGGGCUUAAACUUGCCUGGUAUUUCUCCCUUCUCUGGGUAGCUGGUGCCUCAGGCUACUUGGGCACACAGCUAUUUCUUCCACCCCUAGGCACACAGAUAUCUCUUCCACCCCUGGGCAACUGGCAUUUGAUUUUAGGGCUAUUUGAGCCAAUAAAUUCAAUAAACAAGCCAAUAAAUUCAAUAAACGAGCCAAUAAACGAGACACAGAAUCCUUUUUGAGCAGGCAUCACCAGGUGGGCUGCCUUGAAUCAGCAAGAUAUCACCUGGAGUUCUCAGAAGGGCAUCACCUCUGCCUUGAGAUGAUACAAACAAACCCUAAUUCACCCACUGCUCCUGACAUACCAUCACAUCUGGCUCACGCUGGAUCUUUAUGGGUUUACAUGGACACUUAGAAAAUGUGCUUUCUGCUAUUUCUGGUGACAUAUCCUAUUUAUCAGGUCCUCUUAAUGGGUGGUGUAGUUCAGAUCUCUGGUGCCCUUGUCAACCUCCUGCUCCGUAGUUCUACCAGCUGCUGUGAGGGGCCUUGAUGUCCCUGUGUCCUGAUCUCCUUCUCCUUUCAAUUCUAUUUCUCGUACUGUGAGGCUCUGUUGUUUGAUAAGGACUAACACUUCUGAGGAUUUUAAAUACAGAAUAACUUCUUGAAUGCCACGCACCUGUCAUAAAAAUUUUGAGGCUAUAUGCUCCAUUUUUCUCUGGGCCCCAUGGACCUCCUCAUCACCCCAUCCUCAGUGCAGACUGGAAGGGAAGCCCAGGUGCCCCGAGGUCUGCUCUCAGAAACUCACUCCAGUUCAUCAUCUCUGCCCACGGGAAAACCAAAAAGACCAGGGACGCCCUUGGAAAGGACUACGGCAUCCCCUGUGUAAAGUGGGAAUCUCAAAAUAUAAUAUUUUACACUGACCUGGUGCAUUUCUGUUGCUCUAAAAAGAUACCUGAGGCUCAUCAAGGGAAGAGGUUCAUCUGUCUCACGGUUGUGGUCCCAGCAGCCUGUGCUGUUGCUGGUGAGGACCCCCUGGCUGUGUCUCAACAUGGCGGAGAAGUGGAAGGGAAACUGGCCCUGCGAAGAAGGGCCCAAUGAGGGAGGAGACUACCACACAACACCCCGCUGUCACCAGAACUACCUCAACCCCUCCAAGGGCACACCCAUCCUCUCCCGCGAGGCUUCACCUCUUAGAGGCACCCCCUCCUCCACGUUCCACACUGGGGCCAAGCUUCCAGCACAUGGACCUUCAGGAGGCAGGACACCUGCAGAUCACAGCACAGAGUGACGGGUGGACUCAGCUGCCUGCUGUGUGCCGGGGACAGACUUCACACAGGGAGCCUAGGCUGGGUGGUGCCACCAUGGUGACUUCAAAGCUGCCCCUUCCUCUCACACUGAAGGUGUCAGGAUGCAAGGGAGAGGGCGCCAUGCUGCCGGAGGACCUCACCUCCUCCUAAGUCAUCUUUCAGAUGAAGUCGCUCCUUUGAACACUGCUGGUACCAGGAGGCACCACUGCUGGCCACGGCAGCCCCGCUGUGGGCUCCUCUAGAGUGUGCGCUCAGUCCCCGCAACAUGCCUUCCUGAGGGGCCUGGGUGGUCUUCUGGUGGCGAGGUGGCCUGAGAAGAGGGGCACACUCUCUGGAUGCAGGUGGGAUCAGGAACCUGCGGUCUAGUCCUCACCUUACCCCAGGCCCUUGGGCAGCUCAGAUGCCUUUCUCAGCCAUGUGCCCUGCCCCAGGGGCUGCCUUAUAACCUGCCUUAGCCAGAUGUCAGGGUCGUCCAGGACAAGGUUAGGGGCCUUGCGGGCUGGUGCUGGUGAGGGGCAGGAGUGGGAGGAGGGGCCAGGAUAAGAGGGCACGGGUAGACGGGGUGGGGCCCCAUUACCACUGCAGGUCACACGUAUCCUUUCCCUCUGGGCCCCGUCUGCACAUUGACGCUGUGUGUAGGGGCGAGGAGGACACGUGGGCUGGACUGGGCUGCUUCCUCGCCUGGUACCUGAGAUCUAUGAGAUACAGGCGCGCUCAGCGUCGUCACCUUGGGCCUGUGUUUGAAUUCAGGGACGGGGUGAGGAACAGUCACAGAGCAAGUGUGUCAGUGGGGCGGGGGCCCGGGCACCCCAAAGUCAAACACCCUCUGCAUCUUGCCUGACUCACUGAAGGAGGGGAGGCACUUUCAUUCCCUCUCUGCUUUUGAGGGGGCCAAUCUUUACCCUGCAUUUUAGCAACACAGUGUCUCAGUGGCGAAAGUUGAUUGUGUGCAUUAGAAGUGGUUCAGGCGACCAGAGGGCGGAAUCCAGGGGAUUCCUACUGAGUUGUCUGUCAACUUGUGUGUCUGUUUAUUUUUUAUUUAAUACCACCGCACGACACUUUUCCAUGUUAUUACAAAUUCCAUAGAAAAAUGCUAGGGAAGCUUCCCUAGGGGCUGAGGGUCAGGCCUCACUGGACGGACGCUGGGCUGACGUGGCCCUCACCUGAAGUCACAUGCUGAACUGCUGUGGGCUUGGUUUCUGAGGCUCAGUGUCAGGUCACCUAAUGCUCGGCCACCCUGGACAGCCUUUGUUUCUUUUCCCAGUGUCCAGUCAUGCUGGAUGUGUUAGCCUGCCGGGGCUGUGGUAACAAAGCCCCUCAAAGCGAGAAGCUUCAGUGACAGAGUCGCACCGUCUCGUGCUGCUGGAGGCUGGAGCCUGGGGCCUGGGGUCUGCGGCCUGUUCCUUCUGAGGGGAUCCACUCCAGCCCUCUCCCAGCCUCUGGUAGCCUGAGUGGUCCCUGGACUUAGAUGGCGGCUCCCUGUGCGUCUACCUCGCCUUCCUGAUGUACAUGUCAAUGUCCAAAUUUCUUGUUUUUAUAGACAAACAGUCAUGGCCACCUUAAUAACUCCAACUAACCCGGCUUAUUUUCCAGGUAAAGACCCUAUUUCCAAACAAGGUCAUGCUCUCAGGUGCUGGAGGUCAGGACCUCAACAUCUUUUGUGGGGAUACAAGGUAACCCAUAGCAUUGGCAAAUGGCCCAGGCCAUUCUGGGGCAGGCUUGGGAGAAGGGUCACCAUAUACCUUGUGGCCUUGCUCUAAGACCCCUCCCCAAGGGACCUGGACUCCAUUCUCAUUGAGGGUCUGUGGGUCCCACAUCAACCCUGGCUCCAAAGCCUGGGGCCACUGGACUUCUGAAGGAUGCCGUGGGCCCCUUCAGUCUGUCUUUCUUUUUUAGAU